GGCCAAAUUAUGGAAAGAGCUUUUCCUGCUGUGCUGGGGGCUGAGAACUCAGAACAGUCAGCCUGGAAAUAGUGUUUCGGAGUCAUCAACUCCAUAGAUGGCAAUGAAUGUAAACAGAGAAAAGUGAUUUUCGAUGACUGGACCCUGGGGAGCUUCUGAAUUUAGGUUUUGGAAUCUGGAUGAGCCAAGGAGACUUGGGAGUGGCCAGCGAGGUGGGGAAGAAUAGGGAGAACGUGCCUCUCACACAAGCAAGAAUUUGAAGAGGGAUGCGUCACUCUCUGUGCCAAAUUCCCCUGAAAGACCGAGGAAGGCGCGGACUGAAAACUCUCUUUGUACUCGCGCCCUUCACAGGAAGAGUUUAGUGAAGUGAAGACAAAAGCUGCCUGUAGCUGAUUCAAAGGAGAACACGAAAUAAGGAUUUGGGGACAGAGAGACAGUCCUCUCAGGAGAACAAGGGACGAAGAAACAGAGCUACGGAGAUAUGAGCUUGUGAGGGUGGCUGAAGAUAUAAUUAAAUAAGAUGAGGUCAUGCUGAAAUAGGGUGGGCUCUUAAUCCAGAAUGACUAAUGUCCUUAUAAAAGAUGGAGAAGAGACACAGACAUACACAAGGAAAAGAAGACUAUGUUACAACAGAGGCAGAGAUUGGAGGGAUGUCUCUACAAGCCAAGGAAACACUGUGUGAAACCUGGACACACA